rnacentral:lncRNA from 1 species
CCCCCUUCUUUCAACCCCUUCCAAUGAAAAUAAAAUAAAUAUAUCAUCCAAUAUAUAAUCUAAAUUUCUUUUCCUUAUUGCUAUUUAUGUGCCGAAGUAUAUCUUAUGUUAAUGAAGUGUAUCUUAUCGUACCAUUUAGCUAAAAACAUAUGGAUUCUUGGGCAUAUUUGAUUAUCAAAUCAAUAGUACAUCAAUUAUUUCCUCUUCUGCCCCAAAAUUUUUCCCAACCACCAACAGAUCAUGACAUGGACAGAAAG